rnacentral:lncRNA from 1 species
GGUUCCGCCCUGGGUGGGGAGAAGCCCUGCUGCACCACUCGGGCUUCCCAGAGCGGGGCUGGCCCGCGGGGGAAACUGAGGCCCGGGACCCCGACCGGCGCCUGCACUGCGCUGGUAGGAGUGCUGUCACCGACGUCGUAGAGCCGCCGAGGGUGUUUCUGUAGGGUAAACAUGAAGCCUCGGCUAUAUUCCAGGCAUUUUCACUUGGAAACAUUUUACAUAAAGUAUUUGAAGGUCUAGAUAAAGAAUAACAGAGUGAUCCAUACUACAUGAUGAGGAGCUGUCCAAACACCAUGCAGAUGCUCCUAGGAUUCUUAAACUAGCCAAAAAUAAUUCCAGGCAUUGUCAGAUAUAGGAUAAGUACAUGAAGACAGCAUUAGUCGCAGUAGCGAAGACACGGAAACAACCUAAGUGUUCACCAACAGAUGAAUGGAUGAAGCAAAUGUAGCAUAUAUACACAGUGGAAUACUAUUCAGCCUUUAAAAAGAAGGAAAUCUGGCUAACUGCAACAACAUGGAUGAACCUGGAGGAUAUUAUAUAAGUGAAAUAAGCCAGGCAUGGAAAGUUUUUGUAGAGAUGAAGUCUUGCUGUGUUGCCCAGGCUGGUCUCCAACUCCUGUACUCAAGCUAGCUUCCUGCUUUGGCCUCCCAAACUGCUGGAAUUAAGUUGUCUGCCCUAUUGCUCAACAAGAUAAAAUGUCUGGGCUGGUGGCUGGAGGCUGGAGGAAGAAUCUGGAAAGAGAGAGAGACUGUGGAAAAGGCAUAGAAAGACCUUUGAACUAGCAGAACAUAUUUCUUUGAGGGACUUAGGAACUUCAUUCUGGGCAAUCUUCCCAAAAGGUACACAGCUCUGGACGUACCAACACUCUAUUUAAAAACCAGUAAGGUAGAGUGGAAGGCAGAGCUGAGUGAAACUGAAACCUGGUAUUUGCUGGAGGUUUCUUUCUGGAAAGCUGACAGCACACCUCUGACCCUCUCCAAAAGGUCUGAUAUGAAAUAUUGCGACAAAGUUGGAAUCAACUGGCAGGCAUUUCAGUAGAUGUGCUAAUAGCAUGCAACAAUGGGAAGGCGCCAAAACUGAACUGAGGUGGUGAAAUGAGGUAGAGAUAAGCAAGUACCGCAAAAAAGGAGGCAAGAGAAAUGGCAAAACUGGGGUGGUUCAAAGAAGGAAACAGGGUUUGAUGCCAAUGGUUAUUGUCUGGCUUAUUCGAGUAGUUUUUAAAGGGAGAGGAAGGGAGAGGUGUGUCGCUACCUGCUGGUACUGUGGUGUGCCUUUAUUGCGUUUGGACAUCCAAGCAGACCUAUUUAUUUGUUCCCUAAGCAAAUAUUUAUUGAAUAUGUAUUAUGUCCUAGGCACUGUGUAUCAGAAAUAACUGCAUAUAUGAGCCUUGGAGGGUGAUUGUGGUUGAUAUGCAUUGACAUGGGUGAAAGGGAAGAGACAUAUUUUCAACUUUGUAUUUUUCAACACAUCCAGCUGCGUGCUUUCAGCCCAGCAGGUGCUCAAAAUAGGUUUACUGAGGUGAAAACCAAUUCUUGCCUCUAAAGGGUGUUCCAUGGUCUCACAGGAAUUAGGAAGGAGUGAGGAGCAUCUUUAGUAAAUAAACAAUGUGCUCAUAGCAUAAAAAAUACAAAAAAAAAAAAAAAA